GUGCUCGCUUCAGCAGCACAUAUAUUAAAAUUGGAAUGAUACAGAGAUUAACAUGGGCCCUGUGCAAGGAAGAAACACAAAUUCGUGAAGAACAUACACACAAGU